GAUGAACGCUGGCGGCGUGCCUAAUACAUGCAAGUCGAACGAACGGACGAGAAGCUUGCUUCUCUGAUGUUAGCGGCGGACGGGUGAGUAACACGUGGAUAACCUACCUAUAAGACUGGGAUAACUUCGGGAAACCGGAGCUAAUACCGGAUAAUAUUUUGAACCGCAUGGUUCAAAAGUGAAAGACGGUCUUGCUGUCACUUAUAGAUGGAUCCGCGCUGCAUUAGCUAGUUGGUAAGGUAACGGCUUACCAAGGCAACGAUGCAUAGCCGACCUGAGAGGGUGAUCGGCCACACUGGAACUGAGACACGGUCCAGACUCCUACGGGAGGCAGCAGUAGGGAAUCUUCCGCAAUGGGCGAAAGCCUGACGGAGCAACGCCGCGUGAGUGAUGAAGGUCUUCGGAUCGUAAAACUCUGUUAUUAGGGAAGAACAUAUGUGUAAGUAACUGUGCACAUCUUGACGGUACCUAAUCAGAAAGCCACGGCUAACUACGUGCCAGCAGCCGCGGUAAUACGUAGGUGGCAAGCGUUAUCCGGAAUUAUUGGGCGUAAAGCGCGCGUAGGCGGUUUUUUAAGUCUGAUGUGAAAGCCCACGGCUCAACCGUGGAGGGUCAUUGGAAACUGGAAAACUUGAGUGCAGAAGAGGAAAGUGGAAUUCCAUGUGUAGCGGUGAAAUGCGCAGAGAUAUGGAGGAACACCAGUGGCGAAGGCGACUUCCUGGUCUGUAACUGACGCUGAUGUGCGAAAGCGUGGGGAUCAAACAGGAUUAGAUACCCUGGUAGUCCACGCCGUAAACGAUGAGUGCUAAGUGUUAGGGGGUUUCCGCCCCUUAGUGCUGCAGCUAACGCAUUAAGCACUCCGCCUGGGGAGUACGACCGCAAGGUUGAAACUCAAAGGAAUUGACGGGGACCCGCACAAGCGGUGGAGCAUGUGGUUUAAUUCGAAGCAACGCGAAGAACCUUACCAAAUCUUGACAUCCUUUGACAACUCUAGAGAUAGAGCCUUCCCCUUCGGGGGACAAAGUGACAGGUGGUGCAUGGUUGUCGUCAGCUCGUGUCGUGAGAUGUUGGGUUAAGUCCCGCAACGAGCGCAACCCUUAAGCUUAGUUGCCAUCAUUAAGUUGGGCACUCUAAGUUGACUGCCGGUGACAAACCGGAGGAAGGUGGGGAUGACGUCAAAUCAUCAUGCCCCUUAUGAUUUGGGCUACACACGUGCUACAAUGGACAAUACAAAGGGCAGCGAAACCGCGAGGUCAAGCAAAUCCCAUAAAGUUGUUCUCAGUUCGGAUUGUAGUCUGCAACUCGACUACAUGAAGCUGGAAUCGCUAGUAAUCGUAGAUCAGCAUGCUACGGUGAAUACGUUCCCGGGUCU
rnacentral:rRNA from 1 species